rnacentral:rRNA from 1 species
UACGUAGGCAGCAAGCGUUGUUCGGAAUUACUGGGCGUAAAGAGUGUGUAGGCGGUGUUCUAAGUUUGUCGUGAAAUCUCCCGGCUUAACUGGGAGGGUGCGGCGAAAACUGGAAUGCUAGAGGAUGGGAGAGGUAAGCGGAAUUCCUGGUGUAGCGGUGAAAUGCGCAGAUAUCAGGAGGAACACCGAUGGCGAAGGCAGGUCUCUGGGCCGAUACUGACGCUGAGGAGCGAAAGCGUGGGGAGCGAACAGGAUUAGAACUAC